CCGAGUGAGAAUCCUCUGGAUUCAACCUCCCACCCGUGUUUAUUUUACCUUGUUGCUUCGGUGGACCCGCCGUAAGGCCGCCGGGGGCAUCUGCCCCGGGUCCGUGUCCACCGGAGACAAUCUGAACUCUGUCUGAAUGUUGCAGUCUGAGUAUAUAACUUAAUUAGUUA
rnacentral:misc_RNA from 1 species